rnacentral:rRNA from 1 species
GACGAACCGAGCGAACGUUAUUCGGAAUCACUGGGCUUAAAAGGGUGCGUAGGCGGUCGCGCAAGUCGGAUGUGAAAUCUCAGGGCUCAACCCUGAAACUGCAUUCGAUACUGCGUGGCUAGAGUGCUGGAGAGGAGACUGGAAUUUACGGUGUAGCAGUGAAAUGCGUAGAUAUCGUAAGGAAGACCAGUGGCGAAGGCGAGUCUCUGGACAGCAACUGACGCUGAGGCACGAAGGCCAGGGGAGCAAACGGG